CGGGCGGGUCGGGCGGUCGCCUGAUACUUAUAAAGUAUUGGGAGGAAAGUCCGAGCUUCACAGGGUGCGACGCUUCCUAACCGGAAGGCUUUUUGGCAGCAAUGCCAAAAAGACGGAAAGUGCCACAGAAACGAUACCGCCCAGCACCUAUUGUGUAGGUUCUUUUAAAGUUAUGUCUUGAGUGCUUGCUAAAGACUUGACCAUUGUCAAUAGGUGCUGGGUAAGGGUGAAAUAGUGCGGUAAGAGCGCACUAUUCUUUUCGGUGACGAAAAGAAUGGGCAAACCCCGUCGGAAGCAAGACCAGAUAAGGGAGCAGGACUGACCCGGUCCGUUAUGACUCCCGGGUAGGUCGCUUGACCCAGCACCGACAAAAGGUGCUGGGCAGAUUAAUGACCGCCGAACACAGAACUCGGCUUAUAGACCCGCCCGCAUU
rnacentral:RNase_P_RNA from 1 species